UACUUGAUCUUGACUAUCCUACUUGGAUAACUGUGGUAAUUCUAGAGCUAAUACAUGCACCAAAGCUCUGACCUUACGGAAAGAGUGCAUUUAUUAGAACAAAACCAAGCGACUUCGGUCGUUUUUUGUUGACUCAGAAUAACUAAGCUGAUCGCAUGGUCUUGCACCGGCGACGUGUCUUUCAAGUAUCUGCCUUAUCAACUUUCGAUGGUAGUGUAUCUGACUACCAUGGUGGUGACGGGUAACGGAGGAUAAGGGUUUGACUCCGGAGAAGGGGCCUGAGAAAUGGCCACUACGUCUAAGGAUGGCAGCAGGCGCGCAAAUUACCCACUCUCAGAACGAGGAGGUAGUGACGAAAAAUAACGAGACCGUUCUCUAUGAGGCCGGUCAUCGGAAUGGGUACAAUCUAAA
rnacentral:rRNA from 1 species